rnacentral:rRNA from 1 species
UACGUAGGGUGCGAGCGUUAAUCGGAAUUACUGGGCGUAAAGCGUGCGCAGGCGGUGAUGUAAGACAGUUGUGAAAUCCCCGGGCUCAACCUGGGAACUGCAUCUGUGACUGCAUCGCUGGAGUGCGGCAGAGGGGAUGGAAUUCCGCGUGUAGCAGUGAAAUGCGUAGAUAUGCGGAGGAACACCGAUGGCGAAGGCAAUCCCCUGGGCCUGCACUGACGCUCAUGCACGAAAGCGUGGGAGCAAACAGG